rnacentral:rRNA from 1 species
AAGCUAAUCUCAUAAACUCGGUCUCAGUUCGGAUUGCAGGCUGCAACUCGCCUGCAUGAAGUUGGAAUCGCUAGUAAUCGCCGGUCAGCCAUACGGCGGUGAAUCCGUUCCCGGGCCUUGUACACACCGCCCGUCACACCAUGGAAGCUGUUCAUACCCAAAGUCGUUACCUUAACCGCGAGGAGGGGGGCGCCUAAGGUAGGGAUAGUGACUGGGGUGAAGUCGUAACAAGGUAGCCCUACUGGA